rnacentral:tRNA from 1 species
UCCCUGAUAGCUCAGACGGCAGAGCAGCGGACUGUUAAUCCGCAGGUCCCUGGUUCGAGCCCAGGUCGGGGAG